rnacentral:rRNA from 1 species
CACGUAGGGUGCAAGCGUUGUCCGGAAUCAUUGGGCGUAAAGAGCUCGUAGGCGGCUUAGUAAGUCGGGUGUGAAACCUCCAGGCUCAACCUGGAGACGCCACCCGAUACUGCUAUAGCUAGAGUCCAGUAGGGGAGUGCGGAAUUCCCGGUGUAGCGGUGAAAUGCGCAGAUAUCAGGAAGAACACCCGUGGCGAAGGCGGCUCUCUGGGACGGUACUGACGCUGAGACGCGAAAGCGUGGGGAGCGAACAGG